rnacentral:rRNA from 1 species
ACGCUCGACACCUACGGGGGCGAGCAGUGGGGAAUAUUGCACAAUGGGGGAAACCCUGAUGCAGCAACGCCGCGUGAAGGAAGACGGUUUUCGGAUUGUAAACUUCUGUUCUUAGUGAAGAUAGUGACGGUAGCUAAGGAGCAAGCCACGGCUAACUACGUGCCAGUAGCCGCGGUAAUCUGAGCGGGCUGGCAAGGC